GGAGAGCUGGCCGAGUGGUCGAAGGCGCCGCAUUCGAAAUGCGGUGUACCUUUACGGGUACCAAGGGUUCGAAUCCCUUGCUCUCCGCCA
rnacentral:tRNA from 1 species